GACGAACGCUGGCGGCGUGCCUAACACAUGCAAGUCGAGCGAAGCCUUCCGGGUUCUUGCCCUAGAAAUACGUAGCGGGGAGCGGGUGAGCAACACGUAAAGAACCAGCCUCAGAGACGGGGACAACUAUCGGAAACGAUAGCCAAUACCGGAUAACAGCGUCAACGGCAGGGCUGGUGUUGAAAAGUCUGUUUGGCAAAGAAUAAGAGAUGGCUGUACGGUACAUUUGCUAGUUGGGGGGGGAAAGUCCUACCAAGUCGAAGAUGCAUAGCCGACCUGAGAGGGUGCUCGGCCACACUGGUCCUGGGACACGGCCCACACUCCUACGGGAGGCAGCAGUCGCGAACCUUCCGCAAUGGGCGAAGGCCUGACGGAGCAACACCGCGCGAGUGACGAAGGCUUUCGGUUCGUAAAGCUCUGUUGUUCGGGAAGAAUGAUUGUGUCGUAACUCCGCGCUGUAGAGACGGUACCUAACAAGAAAGCCACGGCUAACUUCGUG
rnacentral:rRNA from 1 species